GUAGAGUUUGAUGAUCCAUCCGCAUGCAUGAUCUGGCAGACUUUUGGUGGGUUCAAGCUCUUCGCAACUAUCCUUUAGGAUCGAACAUUCUAAAUGAAGUCUACUAGAGCCUGCACCUUGAUAGAGGGUCGGGGCCGAAACUUCAUGUCGAACUCUGUGAGCUCAAUCACCCAUUUUGACAGUUGACCUGACAUAUCAGGCCAAUGCAAGACCAUCUUGAGAGGUUGGUCGGUUAGGACUGUUAGAAAAAUG
rnacentral:lncRNA from 1 species